rnacentral:rRNA from 1 species
AGUGAACGCUGGCGGUAGGCCUAACACAUGCAAGUCGAACGGCAGCACAGUAAGAGCUUGCUCUUACGGGUGGCGAGUGGCGGACGGGUGAGGAAUACAUCGGAAUCUACUUUUUCGUGGGGGAUAACGUAGGGAAACUUACGCUAAUACCGCAUACGACCUACGGGUGAAAGCAGGGGAUCUUCGGACCUUGCGCGAUUGAAUGGGCCGAUGUCGGAUUAGCUAGUUGGCGGGGUAAAGGCCCACCAAGGCGACGAUCCGUAGCUGGUCUGAGAGGAUGAUCAGCCACACUGGAACUGAGACACGGUCCAGACUCCUACGGGAGGCAGCAGUGGGGAAUAUUGGACAAUGGGCGCAAGCCUGAUCCAGCCAUACCGCGUGGGUGAAGAAGGCCUUCGGGUUGUAAAGCCCUUUUGUUGGGAAAGAACAGCAGCAGGUUAAUACCCCGCUGUUCUGACGGUACCCAAAGAAUAAGCACCGGCUAACUUCGUG